GAAGGUGGUGGUGGGAAGUUUCCAUGGGGGAAGGGUGGGCAGCACGAGCUGGUCCGCAUCGUCCAGUCUCACGCCCCUUGGUGUGUCCUGUCUCGGUGAGGGGUGGGUGGGUGGACAAGCCAGUUACCAGCCAGACUUGCUCCUUCGUAGCUUUAGUGGCAUUACUUGGUGUCUAAUAGCGAGUAUUUCCUUUCUCUCACCCCUUAGAUCGGCCGGGCUUGCGCGGGACGGACGAGAUCGCCAAACUCAAUGAAGCCGUCGGCCGAUCACUCCUUAUGGAGCUGGACAAGACCCACAGGUAUCCAGUCAAGGGGGACGUGACUGUGUACGCCUUCCUGAUCGCCAAGAUGCCGGCACUCAGGGAGCUCAGCAUGCUGCACCAGGACGCCCUAAGCAAGUUCAAGCGAGCCGCGCCACACCUGCAGUUCUCGGACCUCCACAAGGAAAUCUUCAAUGUGGACUCCUGAGGUGCCUCGCGCGGACUACGUGGUAACGAAGUUCAGUGUGUUGGGGGAACAUCCUCCCCUCCUCCUCCUCCUCCCCUCCUCUUCCUCUUCUUCCUUCUCCUCCUCUUCCUCCUCCUCGGCUCUGUUGCUCCAUCACAUCGUUUUAUACCGGAGAGUAACGUGUUGUACAUUACCUUCGUGAAUUGUUUGUUAGUGUUACUUGUUAGGGCAGAACACCCCUCCAUUACCCGGGCUCUUUUAUAAGAUACCAUUUCUAGAUGUGUUGUGAGUUUUACAGAGUCUAACAAGUGUUCUGUGUAGAGGAGAGGGUGCCGGAAGCCUCCACUGUAAUCUUAAGCAGCCCGCAGCAGCCCCACUGUAGAUUAUAAUGUUGAUCAUGAUGCCUUAUAAUCGAGAGGUCAGCACGCGGCUGCUUAC